AAAAAAAUCUGAAAACACCCCCUAUUUUCAUUUAUCCUCUACUAGGGUUUAUACCAACCCAUCAUCGCCGCCGUCGUUGAUCCACCGUGGAUGGUGGUUGGGGUUGUGCGAAAAGGGGCUUUUUAACCCCGGUUUUGAAGCUCUCGAAGGCCAUAUUUCCUUAACCUUAGAGCCCGUGAUAAGAGACCUCAUUUUCCACUUUAGAGUCGGUUUCAACGACGGAGCAGGAACUUUGACGAAGUAACUUCGGGAUCACGGUGAGUCUUCUUUUCUCUUCCCCUUUUUAUAUAUUUAAAAAAAGAAUUUGGAAACCAAAAAUAAAAAUAAGAAAACAAAAAAAAAUGAGAUCCAACCUUUUUAUUGUUGUUUUUUUGCUUUCUGAUUGCUUAAAAACGUCCCCCUCAAUACAUUGAUCUUUCUAGCUUUUAUAGCCGAAUAAAAACUUCAUAUUCUACUGUUUAUUUCACUAUUGGUGCUGUUCAUGAUUUCGUUUAUGCUACUAUUUCUAUUUUUCUUGUUUUUGUCUCUCUUUCCUCUUUUUGCAGGGCUAGCGCUUAGUCAACGGAGGGGAGAAGGGUUUCUUUUUCCAUUUCGGUGCAAGCUUGCAGACAAGCCUCGGGACGAGGUGCGGGCGACGUGGCUGAGGAGGGGAGAAGGGUUUAGGCUUCUGUAAAAAAAUGUUUAGGUACAUGGGCUUGUUAUUUUUGGGCCAAGUUUUUUAGUUUUGGGUCUGCAAAAAUUUGGACUUGUGUUUUGGACUCUGGACUGGUAAUUUUGUAUUUGGGCUUUUGUUUUUAUGUUUUUUUGUUUGGGCCGGUUAAUAGUUUUGGGCUCGGGUAAAUUUGGGUUCUUACAAUAAUCAUGUCAUUCAUAGUUAUUGAAUACAUUUUAGAGCAUUUACUCAAAACACAUUGUGUGCAUUGCUUGUAGUGUUUUUGUUCGAUUUGAGCGUCUUUGUCUUUUGUAUUUGCUUUCACUUUACUUUGGUGUCUUAGAGAACUUCCUUCGUGAAUUCUUACUUUUAGGAAUUAGAUUGACUUAGGCGGAUUUGAAGUAAAGAAAUCAUCUAAGGAUGCGCAGUUUGUGAUACUUAAGUUCUAGCCCCAUGACACUUAUAUAUACGCUAGAUUUUGUC
rnacentral:lncRNA from 1 species